UACGUAGGGUGCGAGCGUUGUCCGGAAUUAUUGGGCGUAAAGAGCUUGUAGGCGGUUUGUCGCGUCUGCUGUGAAAAUCCGGGGCUCAACCCCGGACUUGCAGUGGGUACGGGCAGACUAGAGUGUGGUAGGGGAGAUUGGAAUUCCUGGUGUAGCGGUGAAAUGCGCAGAUAUCAGGAGGAACACCGAUGGCGAAGGCAGGUCUCUGGGCCACUACUGACGCUGAGAAGCGAAAGCAUGGGGAGCGAACAGGAUUAGAUA
rnacentral:rRNA from 1 species